GACGAACGCUGGCGGCGUGCUUAACACAUGCAAGUCGAACGGAAAGGCCCUGCUUUUGUGGGGUGCUCGAGUGGCGAACGGGUGAGUAACACGUGAGUAACCUGCCCUUGACUUUGGGAUAACUUCAGGAAACUGGGGCUAAUACCGGAUAGGAGCUCCUGCUGCAUGGUGGGGGUUGGAAAGUUUCGGCGGUUGGGGAUGGACGCGCGGCUUAUCAGCUUGUUGGUGGGGUAGUGGCUUACCAAGGCUUUGACGGGUAGCCGGCCUGAGAGGGUGACCGGCCACCUUGGGACUGAGAUACGGCCCAGACUCCUACGGGAGGCAGCAGUGGGGAAUAUUGCACAAUGGGCGGAAGCCUGAUGCAGCAACGCCGCGUGCGUGAUGACGGCCUUCGGGUUGUAAACCGCUUUCGCCUGUGACGAAGCGUGAGUGACGGUAAUGGGUAAAGAAGCACCGGCUAACUACGUG
rnacentral:rRNA from 1 species